CGGGGCUCCACUCACAGGGAGGGGCCCGCUGAGGGUCCGCGGAGCAGCCGAGCUCACGGAGACCCUGCGGCCUGCGGUGGGGGCCACAGACAGCCUUCAGCAAGGCCGGCCGGUGGAGGGAGAGGAGCCCUGGACCCAGUCUGCGUGUUCCGCAGAGCUCUGGGUAGCGAGAGGUUUUCAGGUGCAAGACUUCAGGAGAAGAAUGACCAGACUCUUGCUCGCACCAAAGAAUGAAAACAGCUUAUCUAAUGUUCUGGAAGAAUGAACCGAAGCUAUGAGCUAAGGCUGCGGGCUCGUAGGCCUGGAGAAUCGUUAGAGUCAGCAUCCCCAAGGAAUACGAACACACAUGGUGUCCCUUUAUCUAAGUGGAAGAACACACAGAGAUUACACUUUGGAAAUGAUUGCCUAUGUACUUAAAUUCAUACUGCACAAUUGCUCUUGGAUGUUUUCUGGAAAGAGAAAUUCAGAAGGUUUAUAGAGUUCAUUUAAACAACAUAAAUCUGCAUUUUAUUUCACUAAAUGGGAAGGCAUGGCCACAGAGUUUGGAAAAGAGUAAUAUGUAGUUGUGUCAGAAGGGAUGUAUUUCACUGUCCCUUCCAAGAAAGGUUAUUAUCUUCCCCAGGAGUCAGUGUGGCCACAGGACACACAUGCUGGGCCGUUCCUGUAAGACCUCAUAUAGUUUCCUACCGACAUGAAGCCUUCAGCAAUAAAAUGAAAACAAAAAUCGCUGGAA